UACGGAGGGUGCAAGCGUUAUCCGGAUUCACUGGGUUUAAAGGGUGCGUAGGUGGGUUGGUAAGUCAGUGGUGAAAUCCCCGAGCUUAACUUGGGAACUGCCAUUGAUACUAUCAGUCUUGAAUACCGUGGAGGUCGGCGGAAUAUGUCAUGUAGCGGUGAAAUGCUUAGAUAUGACAUAGAACACCAAUUGCGAAGGCAGCUGACUACGCGAGUAUUGACACUGAGGCACGAAAGCGUGGGGAAUCAAACAGGAGUUAGAA
rnacentral:rRNA from 1 species